CAGAGUGCACGAACACUGGCGCACCAAUAGCAUCCCUAUGUCAGUCAAUAGUCUGCAAAGUGACGCGACCAAAAGGGGAGGGUGCUUUCUCUCAAGCCUAUCUCAGUUUUGAGCUUUCUCGAGCUGCAGGGAGCCGAAUGGCGCACUAAUUUAAGAGUUAACGUUUAGACAUCUCCUUUAUAUUUUCGUGGAUUUUACUAAUUUCCUGAAAACUUUCUGCGGGACGAGACGACUUGUGCACGGUGUAGGAAAGGGAGGAUCCUCCCUUGCAGCUCGUGACAGCACUGCCGGGAUACAAACUUUGCGCUUCGUGCAGAAAACGUCUAGAUUGACUCGGCCAUUAAUUAACAGGUCCUGAGUCAAUAGGACGGCGUUUCCUUGCUGGUAACAGUUGGGAUAUUUAAUGAUGUUGGACGGUAUAAAAAUCGAAGACCAUCCGCUGCGGUCGGGACAGGCUACGCUUGGAGUUAUGCUGGGGACGGAGUGCCAUCACCAGGCGGUGUGUGAGGGGUGCCAGCGGCCGAUAUCCGACCGCUUUCUGAUGCGCGUCAACGAAUCUUCAUGGCACGAGGAGUGUUUGCAAUGCGCCGUGUGUCAACAACCGCUCACCACCAGCUGCUACUUCCGGGAGAGGAAACUUUACUGCAAACACGACUACCAACAGUAAGGGCAUGGAUUAUUGGAAAGAUUGGUGUCAGGCAUCCGGGUUCAUUGCUUCUGGUUGACUUGUUUUUAUUCAACUGUGAUCAAGCAAAUAAAAAGUGACAAAUCUUUCGUUUUUACGCUCUAACACUCACAAUAUCUCCGUUCGUAAAGUUGGACUGGAUGGUGGCGUUGACGGUAUGAUUUCGGUGAACUUGUCAUCAUCUUAAAAUUCUGUUGGUUUUACAGUUGUGACGCCAAGUGCAUUGUGGUAUUGUUGAAGAACUGUCUUUAUAAUUAUUAGGCAUUUAUGCAAGUUACAGCUAUAAUUAAAUUCGUUAUUGCUUUGUGUAAUUCCAAACUGAGACGCGUCAGUCCUGUGAUUUAGUGAGUGAUAGUUUGGCUUUUGAAUUUUCAUUUCAGUUUAUGCUGCACUAGAUUUCUUCUUCUUCUUCUUCUUCUUCUGCUUCUCCUUCUUCUUCUUUUGUAUUUAUUUCUUUUAUUUUCCGUUGAUCUGUUAUACUUUGCAACUCAAUGACAAUCCAAAUUAAGCGAUUUCAUUUAAUCAUUUAAUUAAGUCUUUCCUUAGAUCUUUCGAUCAGUCGAGUAGCCCACGAUAUAAUUAUUCAGUCACCUGUCGUAUACAGUAGGCCCAUGUCCAUUUACCGCAGAUGGAUGUUGGUUAACUCGUUUAAUUUUACCUGUAUUUACGCCAAUCAUAAAUGGUUAUAAAUUAUUUAAGUAAGACAUUAGGCAUUAGCUUAUUAAUUACAUAAUUAUAUUUAAUUAUUGUAUAGCAUAUAGGCUAUACACACACACACACACACACACACACACAUUCAUUUAUUGACUGGCUUUAAAUAAUAAACGUACUAUUGUUUUAUAAUAAUAAUAAUAAUAAUAAUAAUAAUAAUAAUAAUAAUUAUUAUUAUUAUUAUUAUUAUUAGAUAUAUUAUUAAUGAGAUUACCGUUGUUGUUAUUGCAUUUUGCAAUCGUGGGCCAUUUCCAUCGUUGUGUUGCAGAAUGUUUUUGAUAUAAUUAAUACCUAACCACGCCAUCAAGAAUGCACAAACGCCAUAAGGGAUGCAUAUGCAAAAUGCCUAUUUUUAAAAGACCGUUUUAAACAAUUAAAAUCUUCUGCAAUAGCACUUCCUUUUUCUCGGUUAUAAAAUCGUGUGCAUAGUCAUGGUAUGGGAUAGUCUUAAUUCGCACAGUGGAUGGGUGCUGUGCUGACCCGGUCCUGACGCUGUGAGUGGACCGCGGGGAGCCUUAUGUUGCAUGUCUUCUCCCCAUGUGUGUCACUACUUUUGCAAGCUUUUGUGUCAGGGGUUUUGAAAUAUCGCUCCCUCUCUCAUGGUGAUAACUGGGAGGUCCUGUCCGACACCAUGCAAUAAUUAAAGGGCCAUAUCUCGCAUGACUUUAAUAGUCACCAAUUCUUUCAGCUUGACCGUGAAGAGUUAGUGUUAACAAAAUUAAUUUCAUAGCUCUGGUCUUAUAUUGCAUUGCCCUGGAGACAGCAGCUAGCGCUGAGACAGGCCAAACAUGUAAAAACCUUUUUCUUUUAGUAUCGUAGGCCUACUAUAUUUAAGCUAGAUUAGUAUAGCAUAUUUAAACGAUUUACCUGUUAUUUUGAAAACCUGUUAUUCUCAACUUUUUUUUUCUUUGCAUCCACUUGCAAUCUUAUGUUUUCUAAGGCCUUGUGAAUGUCAAUCAGGUUUUAGGUAGGCCUACGUGUAAAUCAUAUUUUCCUGGUCUGAUCUCCUUUUUUUGCUCGCAUUACCAAACCUUCUAUUUCAUAAACAGCCGUUUCAUUUCACACCUCUACCAUGGGGGUCCUCUCUCACACGCGCGCUACACGGGUAGCUAUAGCAGUAAUAUUUGUUUAUUUUAUUUUGCAAUGACGGGCCACUUAGUAGAUGUAAUUGGCACCUUUUUGACUUUUAUGACGUUCAUUUAGGUUGUACUUGUCAAGCCCGCAAAGCGCCCGUGGCACGGAGUUGAAGCCUUUGACCGUUUCUAGUGGAACUCCGCCUAAUGACAUACUAGCAUCAGUAGAUUCACGCCCUAUAAUCAUUAGAACCGUAAAUCACAACAUCAGGCAAACGUUCAUAUUCACACCUCUCUGUCAGCUAUUUACAGCACGAGCUUACCGGCAGGAAUUUAUAGCUUGUUUUGGCGCGGAAAUUUCACCUCGCUGUAGCUCAAGAGUAACUUGGAAUAACAGGCUUUCCUUAUUAGAGGAUUAGUUUUGGA